CUUAUACAUUUUUUACCCUUUCACAAUAUGCUUAAAUUUGCUCCGAUUUUUGUAACGCACAGAAGCAAACAUUAAUAAGUAAACUAGCUAUAAUUCCCAUAAUAUAGUGGCCAUCUUUUGGAGCAUGACACUUCCACCUUUUGCCCCAAUUUUCAACCCGGGCAUAUGGAAGCAGUUGGUAGAAAUAUUCUUUAUUUUGCAGCCGAAUAGGCAGGUAAUUAAAAUUUGAGGGAAGCAAGAUUAAGUAGACUUUGGUUGUCAUGCCGGAUUAUACUACGGAACCUGAAUAAAACGGAAAUAAAGCCCUCCUAGAUUAUAGAAAAUGACUCCUUGUCUCCCUUUCUCAAACCAAAAUAAGAAUCGUCGAAACGUAACAAUAUAAAAAACAUAUUUUUUUCAUUUCUUUUCCGCACUAAUCGUUUUAUCAAUAAAAUAGGCCCAUGAUAUGCAUUUUUCAUAGUGAAUCCAACCGGAGUAAAGCCUUCCAAGACUGCGUCAGUUGAAGAUAUAUUAUAAGAAGGUAGCCAAGGUGCAAGAGGUGAGAGCUAGGUGCAAACAAAACGGCUGCAUAGGCUGCUGCCGUGAGGUAGUUCUUGCAAUAAUUGUUUAUUUGUUAAGAAUACAAGUAUUGAUAUGGGGGAAAUUUGGUUUACUUGGCUUUAUUCGUUUGGCUGUUAUGGGUGGCGAAAGUCAGUGAUUAUGAGUAUGUACUCACCUAUGCACUUUUUAUAAAAAUUAAAGUAAAUCAUAAUCAUAAUUUUCACAAAUUAUAUUUAUACAUAUAUAAAUAAUUAUACAUAUAGACAAUGUUUAACGGUCUUCUUUGUGUAUUUUGGACUUAAUUGUUUGUUGGGAGGACCUCAUACAUAUAGUUUACCAUCACUUUUAAAGACUUUUCGAUCCAAACAAUCAUAUUUCAAAAAUUGGGACCUUUGUGACCAUGCACUGUGGCAAAUUGAAGGCGCUUUUUAACAUUCAUGAUGGACAGCAAUGGGCUUAGGUCCCCUGGUGAAGAUUCAAGGAUAUUUUAAGAGGACAACGACCCGAUACAUUGCUGCAGGAUAGUCAAGUCGUGGCUUAAGCAAGAGGGAAUCAAUGUUUUGCAAUGGACACCGCAGAGUCCCAACCUCACCCGUAUAGAGAGUUCUAAACCAAGUCGUUGCCAAAAAAAAAAA
rnacentral:sRNA from 1 species